rnacentral:pre_miRNA from 1 species
AUCACCUAGGGAUCUUGUCAAAAUGCAGUUUCUGAUUCAGUAGGUCUGCAGUGAGGCCUGAGAUUCUUUUUUCUAACAAGCUCCCAAGUGAUGCUGA